GCAGUCGCUAGGCCCCACGACAAGUGCGAAUCGAAGUGACAAUGCAUCAACCAUACACCUGCACUUGCAAUCAAACUUUCAAAAACUUAUGAAUAAGUAUCCAUUUUGCAAUCUAUACACUCUAUUCUCAUAAGUUAACGGCCCAUUUAUUUCACAUUAAAUAUUUUCUUGUAACUGAUAAAUUGAAAAUAAGAAAAAUUAAGAAUAGUUUGAAUCUGUUAAGACAGUCCAUAAGUGCUAAAGCUAUUGCUUCUCCUUCAGCCGCUUUGGCGCAGUGGUUCACGAGGAUGUACCCUAUUGGGUGUUGCACUGGACAAAGUAUCAUAGAGUCGGUUGAAGAAUGAGAUUCUUUUCUUCCAUUUCUUAUCCUCUUUCACUUAUUAGUCAUUGUUUCUUGAAAGAUAUUCAA